rnacentral:rRNA from 1 species
ACGCACGCUGGCGGCAUGCCUCACCCCUGCCAGUCGCACGAGACCUUCGGGUCUAGUGGCGCACGGGUGCGUCACGCGUGGGAACCUGCCCUUAGGUUCGGAAUAACUCCCCGAAAGGGGUGCUAAUACCGGAUAAUGUCUUCGGACCAAAGAUUUAUCGCCUUUGGAUGGGCCCGCGUUGGAUUAGCUAGUUGGUAGGGUAAAAGCCUACCAAGGCGACGAUCCAUAGCUGGUCUGAGAGGAUGAUCAGCCACACUGGGACUGAGACACGGCCCAGACUCCUACGGGAGGCAGCAGUGGGGAAUAUUGGACAAUGGGCGAAAGCCUGAUCCAGCAAUGCCGCGUGAGUGAUGAAGGCCUUAGGGUUGUAAAGCUCUUUUACCCGGGAUGAUAAUGACAGUACCGGGAGAAUAAGCUCCGGCUAACUCCGUG